CGCGUAGGCGGUAAUGUAAGUCAGAUGUGAAAUCCUUCGGCUCAACUGAAGAACUGCAUCUGAAACUGCAUAACUAGAGUACAGAAGAGGGAAACGGAAUUCCCGGUGUAGAGGUGAAAUUCGUAGAUAUCGGGAGGAACACCAGUGGCGAAGGCGGUUUCCUGGUCUGAUACUGACGCUGAGGCGCGAAAGCGUGGGGAGCAAACAG
rnacentral:rRNA from 1 species